UGACCAGACUUUGUCGGAAAAGACAAUAAUUAAAAGGGAGGAGGGAAUUGUAGAAAUUGGGAGAUGCAAGGAAGGAAGGAGGAUCCCACAUCCUGGCAGGAAAUUCUUAAGCUGGGAAAGACGCAGAAGUUUUACAUGACGGCUUGUGACUGACCCUCUUGAGAGCUCUCUCAUAGGGAUUUUCUGCUUGUUUAGAUAAGUGAGAAGGACUGCUCAGACAGACACAUUCUGUAAGAUAUGGACAUCAGGAACUUUCCCAUCAUUAAAGCCCAUCUCCUUCUCUGUAUGCCUGGGUCGAACAAAAACAACCUCAUGUAGGGGUAGAAUUCGGCUGGGCUAAACUUCUGCAAUAACAUGUUCACAUGCAGGAUAUUAUUAUUAUGUCUACACAAGCAAGUAACUUAGAAACUGG